rnacentral:lncRNA from 1 species
CUCAGUUUUGGAUUGUUUGUCAUAAUUUUUAAAAUAGGACAAUUUUGAUAUAAGAACAUUUCUUUGUGAUUCAUAUUUUGUGCAGUGCAAGAUAAAAUGUUUUUCGUCUUCUAUAUUUUUAUUAUGACAUAAUUUGCACAACCUUUCUUCUCUGUUAACUUGCAUGUAUCUACCUCUUUCAAUUUCAAGAUUGUGUGCACUUAGCCUUAGUUUUGCCAAAGGUGCCCUAUCUUUCAACAUAUUCAAUUGGUCAACAUAGUGUGCACGUUUAUUUGAAAAACAAAAAUGUCGAAAAAAUGAUAGUUUUGAUGAUUCUGUAAUAUAUGAAUUCUGUUCUUGUAAAAUUUGGUCAUGAAUUCGUUGUUUUAUUUGAGCAAGCAUAGGUGUAAUAGGUACAUUAAAAGAUGUUAAAUAUGAGAAACCCAGAUUAUGGAUACAUUUCUUCAUAUUACUUGUCCAUAGGUUGUUUUCUCUUGUUUGAAUAAAUAUGUCAUGAGCUAAGAUUUUGUUAGAUGAGAUUAAAUGAUCUAAAAAUUUCAUGGAAGACAACAAAAUUUUAGCUUUUAAGGGGAGUCUACCAAGCUCACUGCGACAUGCAUGGUUGGAAGUUUUACAGUGAACCCCAAGAAUUUCUUUCAUAAAUUUUAUAUGAAACUUUUCAUAUGGUUCAUUCUCAGUAUUUUUUUGAAUUGAUUCAAUACCCCAAACUUCACUUCCAUAUAAUAAAAUUGGAAGUACCAUUGUAUCAAAAAGUUUUUCUAAAAGUCUACAUGAAUUGUUGAGACUAAGAGAUUUCUUUAUUUUGAAUAGAGCUUUUCUAGCCUUUUCCAUCAAUAAAUUGGAGGCAAGGUUAAAUUUGCCAUUGCAUUUUAAAGUUAUCCCAAGGUAACAAUAUUUAUCAACUGUCUCAAUAUAAUAUUUGUUGAUAGUAAAAAAGUUUUGAAAUGAUUUGCCGUUAGAAUUGAAUAUUAGGACUUUUGAUUUUGUAGAAUUUACUUCCAGCUUCCAAUCUGUACAGAACUGAGCUAGAGUGUCAAGACUACAUUGUAGUCCUUCUGGACUACUUGACAAUAGUACCAAGUCAUCGGCAUAUAACAAACAAUGAAUCUUAUCAUCACCAAUUAGCACAGGG